GGCUCGAUAGUCUAAUGGUAUGACGCUCUGGUCCGUAUCUCGCACGGGGUCGCUCUGACCUGUUCCAGUUGUCGAUCGCAGAGCUGUGGGUUCAAAUCCCGCCCGAGCCU